rnacentral:rRNA from 1 species
GAUGAGCAUGCGUCCCAUUAGCUAGUUGGUAAGGUAACGGCUUACCAAGGCUACGAUGGGUAGGGGUCCUGAGAGGGAGAUCCCCCACACUGGUACUGAGACACGGACCAGACUCCUACGGGAGGCAGCAGUGAGGAAUAUUGGACAAUGGGCGCAAGCCUGAUCCAGCCAUGCCGCGUGCGGGAUGACGGUCCUAUGGAUUGUAAACUGCUUUUAUACGAGAAGAAACACUCCUUCGUGAAGGAGCUUGACGGUAUCGUAAGAAUAAGGAUCGGCUAACUCCGUGCCAGCAGCCGCGGUAAUACGGAGGAUCCAAGCGUUAUCCGGAAUCAUUGGGUUUAAAGGGUCCGUAGGCGGUUUAAUAAGUCAGUGGUGAAAGCCCAUCGCUCAACGGUGGAACGGCCAUUGAUACUGUUAGACUUGAAUUAUUAGGAAGUAACUAGAAUAUGUAGUGUAGCGGUGAAAUGCUUAGAGAUUACAUGGAAUACCAAUUGCGAAGGCAGGUUACUACUAAUUGAUUGAC